rnacentral:rRNA from 1 species
UACGUAGGGUGCAAGCGUUGUCCGGAAUUAUUGGGGCGUAAAGAGCUCGUAGGCGGUUUGUUGCGUCGGCUGUGAAAUCCCGAGGCUCAACCUCGGGUCUGCAGUCGAUACGAGCAAACUAGAGUGUUGCAGGGGAGACUGGAAGUUCCUGGUGUAGCGGUGAAAUGCGCAGAUAUCAGGAGGAACACCGGUGGCGAAGGCGGGUCUCUGGGCAACAACGUGACGCUGGAGGAAGCGAAAGCGUGGGGAGCAAACAGG